CCUGAUGACCAUAGCGACGUGGUACCACUCCUUCCCAUCUCGAACAGGACAGUGAAACGCGUCAGCGCCGAUGAUAGUGCGGAUUCCCGUGUGAAAGUAGGUCAUCGUCAGGC
rnacentral:rRNA from 1 species